rfam:Dipodomys ordii contig_45079, whole genome shotgun sequence.
GGUGGCUCAGUGGCAGAGUGCCUGCCUUGCAUGCAUGAGGCCCUGGGUUCAAUUCCUCAGCACCA